GGAGCUAUAAACAAAUCUUGAAUCUCAGCAAGAGGCCUGUGAAUCAGAAAUUUUCACUGCUGUGUCGUGAGAUUGAACAAUACAUCAAAGACAAGUUCAAGACAGGCAGUUGCUGUUCUCCAGGGGAAUACCUGUACUAGUAUCCUGUACAGCAGGCAAUGGCGCUUCUACUGGUACAACAAGAACCUGCAGAAGUGAAAGACUCGUGUACUAGAAUAGUCCAAUGUGAAGGAGCCUUCCUGAGCAGAAGGGAGUCUUGCACUCAGCCCCUUCUCACCAAAAGCUUGGUUUUUGCAGAACUAAAGCUUUAUGAAGCUGCAGCACAUUCAGGAGCAAGAGGGCAGCUCUGUGCUGUGCCUUUUAGCCUCUCAUCACUGAGAACUCUAGAGCCAGCGUUCUGCCAGCAGCAGGGAACUCCAGG
rnacentral:lncRNA from 1 species